rnacentral:rRNA from 1 species
CCUACGGGUGACAGCAGCGAGGAAUAUUGGUCAAUGGACGAGAGUCUGAACCAGCCAAGUAGCGUGAAGGAUGACUGCCCUAUGGGUUGUAAACUUCUUUUAUAUGGGAAUAAAAUGUUCCACGUGUGGGAUUUUGUAUGUACCAUAUGAAUAAGGAUCGGCUAACUCCGUGCCAGCAGCCGCGGUAAUACGGAGGAUCCGAGCGUUAUCCGGAUUUAUUGGGUUUAAAGGGAGCGUAGGUGGAUUGUUAAGUCAGUUGUGAAAGUUUGCGGCUCAACCGUAAAAUUGCAGUUGAAACUGGCAGUCUUGAGUACAGUAGAGGUGGGCGGAAUUCGUGGUGUAGCGGUGAAAUGCUUAGAUAUCACGAAGAACUCCGAUUGCGAAGGCAGUUCACUGGACUGCAACCGACACUGAGGCUCGAAAGUGUGGGUAUCAAACAGGAUUAGAUACCCCGGUAGUC